CCUGAACGCUGGCGGCGUGGCUAAGACAUGCAAGUCGCACGGUGUAGCAAUACACAGUGGCGAACGGGUGAGUAAUGAAUCGCUAAUGUGCCCCGGACUCUGGGAUAGCUACCCGAAAGGGUAGGUAAUACCAGAUGAUAUAACUCUGUCGCAUGGCAGGGUUCUCAAAGGUCCGCCGGUCUGGGGAGCAGGCGAUUUCGUAUCAGCUAGUUGGUGAGGAACGGCUUACCAAGGCGAUGACGCGUAGCUGGUCUGAGAGGACGGCCAGCCACAUCGGGACUGAGACACUGCCCGGACUCCUACGGGGGGCUGCAGUAACGAAUCUUCCACAAUGCACGAAAGUGUGAUGGAGCGACGCCGCGUGUAGGAUGAAGU
rnacentral:rRNA from 1 species